GAUGAACGCUGGCGGCGUGCCUAAUACAUGCAAGUCGAGCGAACAGACGAGGAGCUUGCUCCUCUGACGUUAGCGGCGGACGGGUGAGUAACACGUGGAUAACCUACCUAUAAGACUGGGAUAACUUCGGGAAACCGGAGCUAAUACCGGAUAACAUUUUGAACCGCAUGGUUCAACAGUGAAAGACGGUCUUGCUGUCACUUAUAGAUGGAUCCGCGCCGCAUUAGCUAGUUGGUAAGGUAACGGCUUACCAAGGCAACGAUGCGUAGCCGACCUGAGAGGGUGAUCGGCCACACUGGAACUGAGACACGGUCCAGACUCCUACGGGAGGCAGCAGUAGGGAAUCUUCCGCAAUGGGCGAAAGCCUGACGGAGCAACGCCGCGUGAGUGAUGAAGGUCUUCGGAUCGUAAAACUCUGUUAUUAGGGAAGAACAAAUGUGUAAGUAACUGUGCACGUCUUGACGGUACCUAAUCAGAAAGCCACGGCUAACUACGUG
rnacentral:rRNA from 1 species